GGAUAAUACAUGAGGGCCUGGCAUGUUAGAGGCUUUUUUGAAGUAGAAAACUUGUCAGAUAUUUUUGUCAAGUGAUUCCUGUGACGAUUUUACAGUUUGAAGACAAAAGUUACUCUCUUGCAUGUCACCUCGGCAGGCACUCCAGAUGCACAGAUGAGUGCCCAUAGUCCUGCCCUCAAAGGCUUCCCAGUCUAGAAGUACGAACAGCGGGGUGAGGACAGGAAGAGGUGCGUGAAGUUACUUUGAUGAGGAGCAGGCUCUCCCACCUUUUGGGAGGAAGAGAGACAGCACAAGAUUCACAGAGGAGCUUAUGUGGAAACGGAGAUUUCAAGUCUGAAGGGCAGGCUAGAAAUGAAAAAGCAUCCCGUG
ensembl:lncRNA